rnacentral:rRNA from 1 species
CCUACGGGAGGCAGCAGUAGGGGAUAUUGCACAAUGGGUGAAACCCUGAUGCAGCGACGCCGCGUGAGUGAAGAAGUAUUUCGGUAUGUAAAGCUCUAUCAUCAGGGAAGAAAAUGACAGUACCUAACCAAGCAGCCCCGGCUAACUACGUGCCAGCAGCCGCGGUAAUACGUAGGGGGCAAGCGUUAUCCGGCUUUACUGGGGGUAAAGUGAGCGUAGACGGUUUUGUAUGUCUGGUGUGAAAGCGCGGGGCUCAACCCCGGGGCGGCUUUGGAAACUGGGUAACUGGAGUACAGGAGGGGAAGGCGGAAUUCCAGGGGUAGCGGUGAAAUGCGUAGAGAUAAGGAGGAACACCGGCGGCGAAGGCGGCCUGCUGGACUGAAACUGACGCUGAGGUGCGAAAGCGUGGGGAGUAAACAGGAUUAGAUACCCGUGUAGUC